GAUGAACGCUGGCGGCGUGCCUAAUACAUGCAAGUCGAGCGAACGGACGAGAAGCUUGCUUCUCUGAUGUUAGCGGCGGACGGGUGAGUAACACGUGGAUAACCUACCUAUAAUACUGGGAUAAUUUCGGGAAACGGGAGCUAAUCCCGUAUAAUAUUUUGAACCGCAGGGUUCAAAGGUGAAAGACGGCCUUGCGGUCUCUAAUAGAGGGUUCCGCGCUGCAUUAGCUAGUUGUUAAGUUACUGGCUUACCAAGGCAAGGAUGCAUAGCCGACCUGAGAGGGUGAUAGGCCACACUGGAACUGAGACACGGUCCAGACUCCUACGGGAGGCAGCAGUAGGGAAUCUUCCGCAGUGGGCGAAAGCCUGACGGAGCAACGCCGCGUGAGUGAUGAAGGUCUUCGGAUCGUAAAAAUCUGUUAUUAGGGAAGAACAUAUGUGUAAGUAACUGUGCACAUCUUGACGGUACCUAAUAAGAAAGCCACGGCUAACUACGUG
rnacentral:rRNA from 1 species